CACAGGGAAGCUGGCACAGGGCAUUGGCCAGACGUCGACGCAGGUAGAGCCACGGAGACUUUUGAUUGGCGCUCCCCUGGAGCGCAAGCCGAUUGGUGGAGGUUGAAGUGAAGUCAGCGUCUCCCGCGGCUGAUUGGCCGCGGGAGGGAGGCGGCGGGAGCGCUUGGCGUCUCUCCCGCGGGGGGAGCCGGGGGGUUCGGCGGGGAGCUCCGAAGAGGCCGCGCCUCGUUCCCUUCACCACGGCCCCAACCCCACGUUGGAUCACGGCGGCCGCGUCGCUCGUUCUCCCGCUCGGCGGCGAUGGCGCAGGAGCGGGCCCGGCCGGACCCGGAAGUGAAGCGGCGGAAAUGCCCGCGGAGGAGCCGGCGGCCGAGCGGCCCGGGAGGCGCGGCCCCGGCGAGCUCUCCCGCCGCGCUCCCCGCCCGGCGCUGCCGAGCGCCCAGCAGAGACACCGCCGGGCCGCAGGUAGGGGCUGCAGGCGCCGCCCGUGCCGCGUUCCCCUCAGCCGGCGCGGGCGGGCGGCGGGUGGUUGCGUUUCCCUCAGGGGAAGGCGUCGCUCUGUCGCCGUUAAUCAUCCCCUGCUGCCCGUGACGCGCUCGGGGCGAAGCGCGGGGAUGGGGACGUGACCGCCUCUUGCCGCCCGGUCGCUUCUGCACAUGGUGCUGGCGGCUGAGUCACCUCUGCAUAGGGAGGAUGCAGCGAGGAGGGGGAAGAGCGGCGGUGACGGGACUGAGCGCUUUUCGGGGUGCGGAGGGGGAAUGUAGCGCUGUCCGGUCCUUCUGUACCGCGGUCGCUCUGAAGGAGCAGCCUGACAUGAAGAAUCUGAGGAGAGAUCUUUGCUGUGAGGCGCCAGAGCCUGGCCCAGGCUGCCCAGGGAGGCUGUGGAAUCUCCCUCUCUGAGACAUUUAAACCCACCUGGACACGACCCUGUGUGAUCUGCUCUGGUGACCCUGUGUUAGCAGGUGGGUUGGACUGGGUGAUCUCCAGAGGCCCCUUCAACCCCAACCACCCUGUGGUUCUGUGAUGUGACAGGGUGCGCUGAGAGAAUAUGGUCUUGGGCACUACUAAAUAGGAGCUACUAACUGAAACCUGUAUUAAAAUUACAUAUAUAUUUUUAACAUUAAUGUAGAUUCCAUGUUAGUGCUUGCUUGGAGGUGGUUUUUGUGUUGUGUUCUUUUGUUUUUAUUAAAUCUAAUGUUUCGGAAAGCAGUAGGCAAAAGGACGGCUCUCUAGGGAGCUUAUUGAGCAAGAGUGAAUAGUGUAGAUAAGCUCUGCAGGUGUAGUGAGGUGUAAUGCACAUGAGCUAUGUUUAGUAUUAACUACAGGAGAUUUCUGAUAUGGGGGAGAGUAGCUCUAGAGUUCUGGUGUUUAGAUCUGGAUUAUAAACAUAAAGAGGCUUGAACAUAUAGAAAAGUUUGAGGUAUUUCUUUUAGUGCUGAGGGAAUUUGAUGCUGUGCUGUAGUUCCACUUUAUGCAGUGGAUAAACUGAAAAUUAUUGUUUUGAAUAUGUUGAAUCUAACCCAAAUAUUAACAGAACUUCAGAAAUUCACUUUGAAUGCGAACUUCUCAUCUAACUAUGGAAUGUACUGGUUGAAUCAUGACUUAAAUUGUGAGCUAUUUUUGAGGCACGAAUUGUAUCUCUGUACUAAGUAUAGAACCAUUUAAUAAAUAACAGUUUGUGACAAAACUAA